rnacentral:lncRNA from 1 species
UGUGUCCCGAGGACCAUGGCAACCCAGUUACUGUUUUCUUUCCUUUUUAAAAUUUAACCAUUGAACUAGCCCCUGCCCACACCUGCCUCUGUUUUCUAGUCAACUUUCUGCUGUGUGUAGCACGGAGAGUCUUUACUGGGUAGCUUUUGUUGAUGGCAGGCACAAUUCACAAUUCUGUCUUCUCACCCUUUUAUUGAAAUGGCAAAAUCCAAGCACAAAUACUGUUGUUAAGAGGGCUGAGAAGGCUACAGGAGACCAGAGUCACUGACCUUUAUUUUGAAAAUCAAGACCUCUUUUAAAGUUCCUGGAAGGAACUUAAGGAUGCUGUCGUUCAUGAGGGCACCGCAGAGUCCGGUGCAUGCAUGAAUGAAUGCACGAACACAUCAGUGCAUGCAGUCUACUGGCCCCAGCGAGGUCACCAUCUCAUCUCAGAUACUCAGAAACAAAACAGGGAAGGUCAAGGGAGCAAAUGCUACCUACAGGAGACUCAAGCACAUGAUGUGGACAAGGACACAGUGGGGAGAGUCAAUCCAUAUCAACAGAAAGAAGCUAGAAGGCAGUGAUCCUGAAUCGGUUGUGACACACCAACUGCUACAGUGCAAACAAGCGUGCUUCCCUGGGAGACACGGCACACGGCAAGUGAGGUCUCUGUGCCCGUGGCUCCUGAUGAGGGGGCUUAGUUCCUCAUGGAGUCAGUGCUUUAAUAAAUAGCACUGGAUGUGGCUGCUAAUGGUUUGUGGCCUUCCUGUCUUGGGGCAUUUGCUGAGCUGUCCGGUGAAGGCAAAGACAGACAAGGUCCUUCAUUCUCCUGCCUCUUCCUUUUUGAUAACUCCCUGGGGCCUCUCAAGUCAUCGUCCUUGCCGUUCAUUAUUGGUUUUGCUAAGGGGAAAGCAAGGCAGGGCAGCUGCUCUGAGUGGCCGGAAAAGAAAAGGAAAGGGUGAUUAGCAGGGGUAGGAUGGGGAGACCCUUUGGCAAUCUUGUUUGUGAAAAUUACUCUAUUUGGCCUCUACCGUAGAUGAGAGAGGUUCACUGAAUUACCUUGAAUCUCCUGCUAUUGUUCUGGAG